UCAAGUUCCAGUGGCUCUUUGAGGAGGACACCAACGGCUCUGCGGCGCCAGCGCCCGUCCGCCUGGACUCGCGACGCUUCGUGUCCCAGACGACGGGGAACCUGUACUUCUCGCAAGUGAAGCAGCACGACGUGGGGCGCUACAGCUGCCUCCUGCACCGCCAGAUGGGCCCCGUGCUCAACAAGACGGUCAACAGCUCCUUCAUCAGCUUGCAGCUCAAGAAGGACUCGGUGGGGAGCAGACUGGCCGUGCGUCUCGAGGUGCGGCCACCGCCUACAAUGGACGUCUUGGUGGGACAGAAGCUGCGCUUAGAGUGCUUUGGGAUGGGCAACACAGUUGGCUAUGUACGGCGCGAAAGAAGUUCAACAUGUAAGCGUACGUACAAACGGCGUUAUCCGCGCUGUGGCACCGCCCGGGGGCCUUGCUGCUGAAGGCCGGGCCGGUGCUGGAGAUCGAGGAGGUGCAGACCUCCGAUAACGGCACGUACCGGUGCAACGCCAACAACAAGCUGGGGAACACGAGCGCCUCGACCGAGGUCCUUGUACACGCUCGCCCGCAGUGGACUCUAGGAAUCGUGAACGCAAACAUUCACAUUGGCAAUGACUUGUACUGGAGCUGCAACGCCACAGGGACACCCACGCCCUUGUACCAGUGGCUGCGGAACGGAAUCCUCCUGGAGUUAAAGGGCAGGAUAUUGGUGAGCCGUGAUGAUGGCCGCCUGAAGAUCACCAGCGUCAACAUGAGCGACGAGGGCAUGUACCAGUGCGUGGCCAGCAACGAGCAUGGCGAGAUCUACUCCAGCGCCCAGCUGCGCGUGCUCGAGCGGAGCCAGAGGGGAAGCUCCCAUCGCCAUCGUCGUCAUCGUCGCUCACCUACACUCCCCACCUACACAACCGACACCACCCAUACCACCCACACCACCCACACUCACCACACCACCCACACUCACCACCCACAUACACCACUCACUCACCACACACACCACACUCACCACCCACACUCACCACCCACAAUCACCACACCACCCACACCACCCACACUCACCACCCAAUGGACUAGAGCCUGCUUAGCCACGUGCAUGUGUGAAGAGUUAGGAUAGAGAUAAAAAAAUAUUAUAAUGUAAUAAUAUAUAUCUAGACCAUUGUUUGUUUAUCGAUUG